rnacentral:lncRNA from 1 species
UCAACCCUACCCACUUGUAACGUCCUUCCAUUGGCUCCUCUUUCACGAAGUCGAAGUUAUACCUGUAAUUGAAUUUUUAAGAGUGUUGCUAGCAUGCAUCUUCAGGUUUGGUUGCAAAGAGAGUGCAAAUUCGAAUUUUUAUUGGCCAAAAAAAAAAAAUAAAGAAAAAAAAUCCAAGAUAUUGUAUAGAAUAGAAAUGCAAGAGUUAAAUUCUUGGUAAACAUAAAGAAAAAAAAUCCAAGAUAUUGUAUAUUCGAAUUUUUAUUGGCCAAAAAAAAAAAAUAAAGAAAAAAAAUCCAAGAUAUUGUAUAGAAUAGAAAUGCAAGAGUUAAAUUCUUGGUAAACAAACAAAGAGACCGAGUGAAAAUUAUGUUCACUUUGAUGCGUUAGUUAACAAUGUGCAUGGCAAAAGAGGCAUUAUUGUUUUGCGUACUUACUUCUGAGAAAAUUGUUUUACGAGCUUUUUCUCAGCUUCAGCGAAGAAGUCCUCAAUUUCAGACUUGGCAGGCAUGUUCUCCACCGUUGAUCUACGGCGAGAGUUUGC